rnacentral:rRNA from 1 species
CAAAAUGAAAUUUGACCGGGGGGCCCCGCACAAGCGGGUGGGAGCAUGUGGUUUUAAUUUCGAUGCAACGGCGAAGAACCUUUACCUACUCCUGACAUCCAGAGAACUUAGCAGAGAUGCUUUGGUGCCUUCGGGAACUCUGAGACAGGUGCUGCAUGGCUGUCGUCAGCUCGUGUUGUGAAAUGUUGGGUUAAGUCCCGCAACGAGCGCAACCCUUAUCCUUUGUUGCCAGCGGUCCGGCCGGGAACUCAAAGGAGACUGCCAGUGAUAAACUGGAGGAAGGUGGGGAUGACGUCAAGUCAUCAUGGCCCUUACGAGUAGGGCUACACACGUGCUACAAUGGCGCAUACAAAGAGAAGCGAACUCGCGAGAGCAAGCGGACCUCAUAAAGUGCGUCGUAGUCCGGAUUGGAGUCUGCAACUCGACUCCAUGAAGUCGGAAUCGCUAGUAAUCGUAGAUCAAAAUGCUACGGUGAAUACGUUCCCGGGCCUUGUACACACCGCCCGUCACACCAUGGGAGUGGGUUGCAAAAGAAGUAGGUAGCUUAACCUUCGGGAGGGCGCUUACCACUUUGUUUUUCAUGACUGGGGUGAAGUCGUAACAAGGU